AUCUGAGAGGGCCGUAAAAGGAGCG
rnacentral:piRNA from 1 species